rnacentral:rRNA from 1 species
ACGCACGCUGGCGGCGUGCUUAACACAUGCAAGUCGAACGGAAAGGCCCUGCUUUUGUGGGGUUCUCGAGUGGCGAACGGGUGAGUAACACGUUAGUAACCUGCCCUUGACUUUGGGAUAACUUCAGGAAACUGGGGCUAAUACCGGAUAGGAGCUCCUGCUGCCUUGUGGGGGUUGGAAAGUUUCGGCGGUUGGGGAUGGACUCGCGGCUUAUCAGCUUGUUGGUGGGGUAGUGGCUUACCAAGGCUUUGACGGGUAGCCGGCCUGAGAGGGUGACCGGCCACAUUGGGACUGAGAUACGGCCCAGACUCCUACGGGAGGCAGCAGUGGGGAAUAUUGCACAAUGGGCGGAAGCCUGAUGCAGCAACGCCGCGUGCGGGAUGACGGCCUUCGGGUUGUAAACCGCUUUCGCCUGUGACGAAGCGUGAGUGACGGUAAUGGGUAAAGAAGCACCGGCUAACUACGUG